rnacentral:rRNA from 1 species
AUUGAACGCUGGCGGCAGGCUUAACACAUGCAAGUCGAGCGAGCGGCGGGCGGGUGAGUAAUGUCUGGGAAACUGCCUGAUGGAGGGGGAUAACUACUGGAAACGGUAGCUAAUACCGCAUACCAUCAGAUGUGCCCAGAGGGGAUGAGCUAGGAGGGGGGGGAAAGGCUCAACUAGGCGGCGGUCCCUAGCUGGUCUGAGAGGAUGACCAGCCACCCUGGAAAUGAGACACGGGCAAGAGUCCUACGGGAGGCAGCAGGGGGGAAUAUUGCACAAUGGGCGCAAGCCUGAUGCAGCAAGGACGCGUGUAUGAAGAGGGCCUUCGGGUUGUAAAGUACUUUCAGCGAGGAGGAGUUACUCGCAGAAGAAGCACCGGCUAACUCCGUGCCAGCAGCCGCGGUAAUAC